CAUUAAGACCCUGCACAGAGAACCUCACGGUCUCGCAGCUUCUCAAACCAAUGGAUCUCUCUGCCAGACACACGUUCUCCCCUGCAGCCAUGAAGCGACCCAGCUACACGGACAAAGGGUUUAAAUCAAAGAACCUGGGACCUCCUCCAUUGCCUCUCAUAGAUCCUCCCUGAAGUGGGG